UUGCGAAUCUCCAAAUUUCAGGUUUAGUACAUAUCUGCAUAAUUAUAGUUGGCUAACAGCACAAGGACAAUUACAAAGUCGUCUCUGAAACCUUUGGCUCUGUAGCACUAUGUAUGGAACAACGACGAGUUGGAGAUUAUUACACGGGUGAAAUGUUUUGACACCAGACAUUAGACAGCAGUGUUUGAGGCAAUGUGCUGCAUUAAGAUAAGCUUGGAUUUCGUCUCGUUUGAACAAAUGCCGGCCACAUUUUCAUAUUUGACUAGAAAAAAUUUGGAAUCUAAGAAAAAUUGGAAUCAAUAAGACGAAAAGCUAUCGUGCUUAUUCCAGAGUGCAUACCUAUGUAUUAUGCUGCCUAUAUAAGUAUUUAGAAGACCUUGCACCAGAAAAUGUCUCGUCGGCUUUGUGUCUCACCAUUGACUCCAAUUUUCUUCACGCCAAAUCGGUCCUAAUAAUGCCUUUGUCAAUGAUGGAAACCAGCCGAGAGGGCAGAUAGACCAAAAUACACAAGUAUAUCGCAAUCGCCAGCCAAUUGGCGGCACGGACAGGCAACACUUUAUUAUCUACAAUUUCAAUUAAACUAUCAUCAUGAUCCUUUUAGAGCAAAUGGUUUGGCUGGCUGAUAAUAAUAACCGCGGAGAUGAGUCCUUCUUUCUUAUUUCUUUCUCUCUAAUGCCAAAGGUCUCAUGCCUCCGCUCAACACAACCUCAUCAUCAAAUUCACCCACCAUCUGGGAAAUUUUUUUAGCCAGGCAUACCUACACAUAAACUGCAUGACAGCCAGAACGGAAAAAUCGGGCUCGAAAUAACCACAAGCAAAUGCACCCAAUUCUCCAAGACUUGGAGUUCAAGUGAUAAUGAAGGACCACCACCCAUGUAUAUAUUUACUAACCACAGACUGCAUUGGAAAUAUGAACCCAACCAAAAUGCAAUUUUGUAAAACCCCAGUUUUUUCUACUAAAGAAAAAGUUGUAUAACCUUCUGACCUACGGAAUUAACAACAA